GGGGAAUUAGCUCAGUUGGUAGAGCACUAGGAUCGCACCCUAGAGGUCAGGAGUUCGAAUCUCCUAUUCUCCA
rnacentral:tRNA from 1 species